UACGUAGGGGGCUAGCGUUGUCCGGAAUCAUUGGGCGUAAAGCGCACGUAGGCGGUCUGUUAUGUCGGAUGUGAAAGCCCUUGGCUUAACCGAGGAAGUGCAUCCGAAACUGGCAGGCUAGAGUACUAAAGAGGGUCGCGGAAUUCCCGGUGUAGAGGUGAAAUUCGUAGAUAUCGGGAGGAACACCGGUGGCGAAGGCGGCGACUUGGGUAGAUACUGACGCUGAGGUGCGAAAGCGUGGGGAGCAAACAGG
rnacentral:rRNA from 1 species